rnacentral:rRNA from 1 species
CCUACGGGAGGCUGCAGUGGGGAAUAUUGGACAAUGGGGGCAACCCUGAUCCAGCCAUGCCGCGUGUGUGAAGAAGGCCCUCGGGUUGUAAAGCACUUUCAGUGAGGAAGAACGCCUGGUGGUUAAUACCCAUCAGGAAAGACAUCACUCACAGAAGAAGCACCGGCUAACUCCGUGCCAGCAGCCGCGGUAAUACGGAGGGUGCGAGCGUUAAUCGGAAUUACUGGGCGUAAAGCGCGCGUAGGUGGCUUGAUAAGCCGGUUGUGAAAGCCCCGGGCUCAACCUGGGAACGGCAUCCGGAACUGUCAAGCUAGAGGGCAGGAGAGGAAGGUAGAAUUGCCGGUGUAGCGGGGAGAUGCGUAGAGAUCGGGAGGAAUACCAGUGGCGAAGGCGGCCUUGUGGACUGACACUGACACUGAGGUGCGAAAGCGUGGGUAGCAAACAGGAUUAGAUACCCCGGUAGUC